GGCGAGAUGAGAAUACUAAACAGGCGCCUCAUGGCUCAGCAUCAGCACCGGGCUGAGUUCAGAUUUGCGCACCCAUCAAACUUGGCUUGGGACCUCAGCAUGUGAACGGGCUUUGCAGGAGGAGGAUCCACCUAGAAUGUCAGCUCUGAAAAAGGUGUUGCCAGGCAUACUGCAGAAGCAUUGCUGUAUCUUACCAGACAGGAACGCAGGUGUGAAGAGGUUGCUGAUGAAAUUGAAGAGCAGGGAGAUAUACUCAG